GAAGAGGACAACUUAAAGCAGCCGGUGUGCGGUGCGUUGCGGAUCGGAGCGCGCUUGACUCUGCUGGGUGCUUUUGUGCGUCUGCGUGUGAGAGAGAUGGAAAGAGAGAGAGCGAGAGAGAGAGAGAAGAGAGAGAGAGAGAGGAGGAAGAGAAUCUAAAAUUUGGCAUCACUCCCACAGAUGGGAUAGCAGUAGUGAUGGGAGUGCCAUCAGCGCUGAGAUUUGUCUUACUCAGCAGUGAUCAUUAAUUCAUGAUGCACAGCUUAAUGGAUGUUAGAAUCGGGAACCUCUGCUAUAAAUUACUCAAGUUACAGAGUAACAAAAAAGCAAAGUCAGACUUGAUGUUGUUGGGCUCUAUUCAAAUUGAUUGUGUGUGGGGGGGUGGAAAAUAGAACAAUCAAUUAAAGUACAUGACAACGUCACUCACUAGCCAACAAUGUACUGACAGAAGGAAAACAGCACCUUGAUACAAACAUCACAAGAUGAAGUUCUUUUUUUUGUGGUCAUCCGUAUUUGAUCCCCUUAAGGCGGCCUAACAUUGUCCCACUCCACCAUUGUGUGUCUCUAAUCCUGUGUGUCUUCUUGUGUUGGGGUAGCAUGUGGCUCAGCUGCACUUUAGCCCCUAAUGGACCCAGUUAUGGAGGAGAGCUGCAACCCUGUUGUCUAAAUUCAGGUCAAGUGUGUGCGCAUGCAUGCAUUUGUUGGCCCGCGUGUAGUUUGACACAGAUAAAAUGGUUAAAAAUGCGCAAACUCGUCAUAUUUCAACGAAGGGAAAGCUGGGCAAACACAUUCUGAUAAUUGCUGCACUGACAAAGUAACACCUCUUGGUGAAUGAAUGCAGUGUGAUGAUGCUGUGGGGUAUCUUCGUCAAUGGGUUUGUCAACGUACGGCGAUCAAAAUGAGAUGAUUUGGCACAUUUUUUUGACAGUGUAGCUGUACUUGUCAUCUAACAAAUGUUCCUUUCAAAUGUGCCAUUCACUUCGGAAGAACUAAACAGGCCUUUGUAUUGGGAAGUAGGAGUCCAUAAGAUUUUUUUGUAACUGUGAUUCAAGAUUACUGGACCUGUAACAUGGUUUUCUGUUCUCAUUAGAAAAUAAUGGUAAAAUUACAACGUGGUUCUCAAUCAACCUUUAUAAGACAGCUAGCUCAUUAACGACUGACAAAAAAUCUGUUUCAAACACACUCAAUUGUUGUAAAAAGCAUGAAAGCAGUGACGAAGUUGUAUUCAUCUGUAUUUAUUUGGAAGGGUAUCUCUCACUUUUUGAUGUCCAUGAAAGGAGAUGCUGAAAACACUGAAGACAAAAAGACCUAAUGUGUUUGUGUGUUGAACCUGAUUGAGUGUCUUUGAGUAUGUGCAGAGGGAUCUUGUCAGUGCUGUCCCACACAUAGAAGAUAAAACUACUAAUGGCCAGAGCUCCCUCUAA